UGGGGAAUUUUGGACAAUGGGGGCAACCCUGAUCCAGCAAUGCCGCGUGAGUGAAGAAGGCCUUCGGGUUGUAAAGCUCUUUUGUCAGGGAAGAAACGGUAGUAGCGAAUAACUAUUACUAAUGACGGUACCUGAAGAAUAAGCACCGGCUAACUACGUGCCAGCAGCCGCGGUAAUACGUAGGGUGCAAGCGUUAAUCGGAAUUACUGGGCGUAAAGCGUGCGCAGGCGGUUGUGUAAGUCAGAUGUGAAAUCCCCGGGCUCAACCUGGGAAUUGCAUUUGAGACUGCACGGCUAGAGUGUGUCAGAGGGGGGUAGAAUUCCACGUGUAGCAGUGAAAUGCGUAGAUAUGUGGAGGAAUACCGAUGGCGAAGGCAGCCCCCUGGGAUAACACUGACGCUCAUGCACGAAAGCGUGGGGAGCAAACAGGAUUAGAUACCCCAGUAGUCCCUGAGCGGGCUGGCAAGGCGC
rnacentral:rRNA from 1 species